AACGAUGAUUAUUAUUAUUAUCAUUAUCAUAUUGCCGAGCAAUGGUUCAUUCAUUAUCUAGCUGAAAGUGUGUGGUGCAUGUUGAGGACCUUGAUGGGUGCUAACGCAGCCAAUGCAUGGCCCUUAGUCAAGGACAGUGUUGGUUGGGGAGUUUAACUGGGCUUGUAUGUCUGUCAACUGAUAACAUAGGCACCCCUAAGCAAGCUCAGCCUGGACAGAAACCACACAUUGCACAAAAAGGCAAAAGAUCACUCAGUCUUCAUUUCCAGUAUUGACUGCAAAGGCAUAGCCCAUUGGUCCUUUCUAGAAAGUAGCAAGCUAUGUGUCUACUGCGAAGUGCCAGACAAGCAUUCUCAGGGAUACCACUUUUUGAUCCUUCGGAGUUCAGAUCUUCCAAUCUUACAACAAAGCAGAAUUCAUAAAGAAUUGGAUUGUUUGUCCACUAAUAAGGAAUGUGAAGCUGGGAUUAGAGUGUUGUGAGACAGAUUA
rnacentral:rRNA from 1 species